UUGGCUAUAAUUCAACAAUAUAAUUACGAACUAGCAUGAACAAACUUUUGACUGAAUAAACAUUAAACAUGAACAAAUAUAUCUGAACCGAAUGGUAAUGAAGGUGAUCAGCCAUUCAUACCUGACUUAUACAUACAAUAUGUACAGAGUACAAUUCUACAUGGCAAUCAACAAUGAUUAACCAUAAGCAUAUCUAAAUGUAACAACUCUUAGUAGAGUUAAGAAAAACUUGCAUGCACCGUUGAUUACCGUUACGAAAUAUAACUUAGCUUUAUCCGAAGACCUAAUAUAGAUAAUACCGAUCUCCAAAUAUUAGAAUAAUAUCAUCACACUAUAAAAUAACCUAAACACAUUACCACAUAAUCCUAUCAGUCUAUACAGCACAUAAGACCUAGUAUCGAGUCAAACUAUUACAGUCUGAGUUGUGUUCGGUACUAUUAUUACAUCCCGACGGCCUAGUCGG
rnacentral:lncRNA from 1 species